rnacentral:rRNA from 1 species
UACGUAGGGUGCAAGCGUUAAUCGGAAUUACUGGGCGUAAAGCGUGCGCAGGCGGUUCGCUAAGACAGAUGUGAAAUCCCCCGGGCUUAACCUGGGAACUGCAUUUGUGACUGCAUGGCUAGAGUUUGGCAGAGGGGGGUAGAAUUCCACGUGUAGCAGUGAAAUGCGUAGAUAUGUGGAGGAACACCGAUGGCGAAGGCAGCCCCCUGGGUCAAGACUGACGCUCAUGCACGAAAGCGUGGGGAGCAAACGAGG